GCGCCCGUAGCUCAGCUGGAUAGAGCGUCGGACUUCGAAUCCGAAUGUCGCCUGUUCGAAUCAGGCCGGGCGUGCCG
rnacentral:tRNA from 2 species